rnacentral:tRNA from 1 species
AUCCCAUAAAACCGAUCGUAGUCCGGAUCGCAGUCUGCAACUCGACUGCGUGAAGUCGGAAUCGCUAGUAAUCGU